rnacentral:rRNA from 1 species
UACGUAGGGUGCGAGCGUUAAUCGGAAUUACUGGGCGUAAAGCGUGCGCAGGCGGCGCGUUAAGACAGGUGUGAAAGCCCCGAGCUUAACUUGGGAAUUGCGCUUGUGACUGGCGUGCUGGAGUGUGGCAGAGGGAGGUGGAAUUCCACGUGUAGCAGUGAAAUGCGUAGAGAUCGGGAGGAAGGCCGGUGGCGAAGGCGGCGCUCUGGAACGUUUCUGACGCUGAGGCUCGAAAGCGUGGGGAGCAAACAGG